rnacentral:rRNA from 1 species
UUUAUAUAAAUUAAUAAAUUUUAUUGUUUGAUUGGAUUAUUUUUAUUUUUAUUUAAAGUUAUAUUAUUUGGUAUAGUUUGUUUUAGUAUUAAAAUUUUAAUUAAUAAUUAUAUUUUUAAAUGUGAAGGAUCUAUGAAUAAAAUAAAACAGUUGAUUUUUAGAGUGAAAAUGAUUUUUUCGUACCUUUUGUAUCAGGGUUUAAUGAAUAUUUUAUUAAUUAUUUGAUUUUCUCGAAUUAAUUAGAGUUAGUAUAUUAUUUAAGUUAAUGUUUAAUUAUUAUUUAAAUUAUUAUAUUAGAGGAGAAAUUCUAGUCAAUAAUUAAGAUAUCUAGUUUUUUAGAAAAUAAAUUUAAUUUAUUCAUUAUUUUUAAAUAUUAUUAAAAUUAAUUUUUGUUUUAAUUGAAUUGAUGGAAAGAAUUUAAGGGAUUAGCUUAAAUUUCAUAUUAAAAUAUUUAUUUAAGAGAAUUGAUAAAUUAUAGAUUUAAUAAUAGUUAUUAAUUAAAGUUUUUAAUAAUUUAUUUUAUUUUUUAUUAGGAUUUUUUAUUUAUUUUAAUUAUUUAUAAAAAUAUUUUAAUUAAUUAGUUAUUAUUAAUAUUAAUGAUAAAAUUAUUAUAUAUUUAUAUUAAGUAAUUAUAUUAAAAUUUAAUUGAAUUAAAAAUAUUGUUUUUAUAUGUUGAUAUAUAAUUUUAAGGAACUAGACAAAUUAAAAUAUUUACCUGUUUAACAAAAACAUGUCUUUUUGAAUUUAAUUUAAAGUCUAAUCUGCCCACUGAAAAAAUUUAAAUGGCCGCGGUAUUUUGACCGUGCAAAGGUAGCAUAAUCAUUAGUUUUUUAAUUGAAAGCUUGUAUGAAUGAUUGAAUAAAAUAUUGAUCGUCUCAAUUUUAUUUGUAUUAAAAUUUAAUUUUUAAAUUAAAAAGUUUAAAUUUAAUUAAAGGACGAGAAGACCCUGUAGAUUUUUAUAUUGAAAUAUUAAUUUUAAUUUAUUUUAUUUAUUAAAUCAAAUUUUUUAAUAUUUUGUUGGGGUGACAUUAAAAUUAAAUUAACUUUUAAUUUAUUUAUACAUUAAUUUAUGAAUUUUUAAUAUAUAUACAUAUGAUAUUAAUUAUUGAUCCUAUAUUUUAGAUUAGUAAAUUAAAAUACCUCAGGGAUAACAGCGUAAUUUAUUUGGAGAGAUCAUAUUAAUAAAUAAGUUUGCGACCUCGAUGUUGAAUUAAGAUAAUAAUUAGGCGGAGAUGCUUAAUUAAAUAGGUCUGUUCGACCUUUAAAUUCUUACAUGAUUUGAGUUCAGAUCGGCGUGAGCCAGAUCGGAUUCUAUCCUUAAUUAUUGGUAAAUAUUUUUGUACGAAAGGACUUAAUAUUUUAAAUAUUUUAUUUAUUAUAAUUUGAAUAAAAUUAAUUAUUG